AGAGUUUGAUCAUGGCUCAGAAUCAACGCUGGCGGCGUGCCUAACACAUGCAAGUCGAACGCGAAAGGGGCUUCGGCCCUGAGUAGAGUGGCAAACGGGUGAGUAACACGUGGGUGACCUGCCUUCGAGCGGGGGAUAACGUUCCGAAAGGAGCGCUAAUACCGCAUAACAUCCUGCCUUUGAAGAGGUGGCGAUCAAAGCCGGGGACCAUUCGGCCCGGCACUCGGAGAGGGGCCCGCGCCCGAUUAGCUAGUUGGUGGGGUAACGGCUCACCAAGGCUUUGAUCGGUAGCCGGCCUGAGAGGGCGGACGGCCACACUGGGACUGAGACACGGCCCAGACUCCUACGGGAGGCAGCAGUGGGGAAUUGUUCGCAAUGGGCGCAAGCCUGACGACGCAACGCCGCGUGGAGGAUGAAGAUCUUCGGGUCGUAAACUCCUGUCGAGCGGGAAGAAUACCUUUCGAGUGAACAGCUCGGGAGGUUGACGGUACCGCGAGAGGAAGCCCCGGCUAACUCCGUGCCAGCAGCCGCGGUAAUACGGGGGGGGCAAGCGUUGUUCGGAAUUACUGGGCGUAAAGGGCUCGUAGGCGGCCGACUAAGUCUGACGUGAAAUCCCCCGGCUCAACUGGGGAACUGCGUCCGAUACUGGUGGGCUUGAGAUCGGGAGAGGGACGUGGAAUUCCAGGUGUAGCGGUGAAAUGCGUAGAUAUCUGGAGGAACACCGGUGGCGAAGGCGGCGUCCUGGACCGACACUGACGCUGAGGAGCGAAAGCCAGGGGAGCAAACGGGAUUAGAUACCCCGGUAGUCCUGGCCCUAAACGAUGAAUGCUUGGUGUGGCGGGUAUCGAUCCCCGCCGUGCCGGAGCUAACGCAUUAAGCAUUCCGCCUGGGGAGUACGGUCGCAAGGCUGAACUCAAAGGAAUUGACGGGGGCCCGCACAAGCGGUGGAGCAUGUGGUUUCAAUUCGACGCAACGCGAAGAA
rnacentral:rRNA from 1 species